CUUUCAGCAGACCUUCUGGAGGUGAAGAGGAAGUUUUCCUCCUCCCCACCCCACGAUAGUAUGGACAGCUCUGUAGAAAUACCAUUGGACAAAAAAGGCAUCGCUCACCAGGCCCCCUUAGAAAGGAAUUUUUGGGCAAAGAAAGGGAUCAGAGUUCAGUCCUCACCAAGGAGUCACAUUUUGGGAAGAAAUUUUCUGAGCUCCUUCAUCUGUCAUGGGAAUCCUCAAUUUUAGCCAAGUCAGACAGAAAUUGCCAGGAUUGAACUGGAUCACUGGACACCCAGUUGGUGUUCGCAGAGAACUGGAGAAUUUCAUGGUGUGGAAAAUCUACACGUUUGGCAUCGGAAGUGUUGGGCUCUGACCAUGGACCAGGGAAAGGGAUGAACCAGACCUUUCAGGGGCUUUAGGACACUACCUCUAAACUAAGGCAGAUCCCUGGGGAACCAGAACACCAGAGUCAGGGGUGCCUGCUCCGAGCCUUGCAUGAAGAAUGGGAUUGCCUCCUGUGAUCACUGCCUUUGGAUCAACUCUAACCUCAAGAGACCUGACCAUUGAGGGUGCCAGCUCAGCUGAGUCCUUCUACUACCCAGCUGCUUGGAAUACAGAUGUGGUGGCUGGAGCUUUUGCUGCCAACUUGGAUCACAAAGAUGAGAGGGGGCAAUAGUGACCUCGAAUGAAACCUAAGUCCUCAAAGACCUAAUGAAACAGAGCUGCUAUUUCAGCCAUCACUGUCCACCUCCAAACUUCUACAAGAGAGAAAAAAACAAAAAAACUUUCGUGUGUUUAUGCCACUGUUAUUAGUGGAGCCUGUAUUAUUAGUAACUGAAAUGAAUCUUAAUUCGUGUAUCCAUUACAUUUGCUUAGUUUUAUACUUUCCAGAAGUCUAAUUAUUUUUCCCAGUGAAGUUCAUGUUUCCCUGGAUAUCAGCUAUCCUGGCUGGCAAUGGGAACAUCUGGAAGAAACUAAAGCCUAGCCUCUAUCUCUUAUCCCUCCUGGGGAGCUCAAGGAAUGCCGUGGGGGUGGGAGUUGCCUCUGGCAUUACAAUACGAAUGUGCCGCCCCCUCUGGGAGUUUCUGGACACUCUCCCCUGGCCACUGCUCUUUUCAUGAGCUGGAUCUUGUGGUUAGAAUCCUUGAUCCAUGAAAUGGGGAGGAGGGGCUGCCAGGUCUGCUUGUUCUGUGCUUCUAACCGCAGCCUCAUGUCCCCAUCCUUGCUGACACGAAUGUUUUUUGCCUCCCAGUACCGUGGCAGUGGUGGAGGGAGGCAUGGGGUGGACCAUGAUCUACUGAGGCCAGUGUGUGCAGAGAAAAACCCACAAGUAUAAGAUGUUCACUCAGCUUAUCCCCCUACCGUGGCACUGAGGUAGAGGAGGGGAGGGGGCUUCUCCUGGUUUCCCCUGAGUUUCUCAGAGUCCUUAUCAAUCUCCCUCCUGCUUCUGAGGGACCUUCAAGGCUACAUUCACAGGAAGGGGCCAGCCCCUCCAGUACAUUAGCAUCUUGUAUGCCCUGGCCGGUUAUUUCUAUAGUUUCAGAUCACCAUCUGAAGCCAUUAUUCAUGUGUUUUGAUUGUUUAUUGUCUCUCUCCCCUAGGCCCCACUAGAACAUCAGGUCCAUGAAGGUAGGAACCUGCCUGUUCACAGCCGUCUCAUCAGCACCGAGCACAGUGCCUGUCAGAGACAUUCCACAAACACAGGCUGAAUGAGUGAAUCACUGAGCUGGUGCUGGAACCCAACCGUGAUUCCAGCCCAGGACUUCUUGCUCCAAAUCUAGGGCUCUUCCCAUCCGGGCCCCAGAUCUCCGCUCUGAGCAUCAAGGAAAUCCCAAAGACGAUAUGCAGAGGCAAAAAGUCAUGAGUCAGGACCACAACAGAGGUAUGGGGUCCUUCCCCCAAACUCUGGCUAAACCAACUGCUGAACCAUUGGAGUCAGGGCAGGGCUGCGUCUUUGAAUCUCCCGCUGCUUGAACACAGUGGAUGCUCAAGAGGGGUUUGUUUUAGGGACACACAAAACUAUACUGUAGGAGAUGUUUCAGCAUGUUUAUGGGGGCAGGAAGCAGGGUGACUAGGAGAGAGGAUUGGGGAUUAUAUGGAGAAGGAGAGGGCACUAGCCUGAGCUUGACUCAAAGGGGCCUUCAGUGUAGCACUGCAUAAUACAUGGGGGAGCAAAGAGCCACACACAGCUUUUUACAUUUAAUUAAAAUGAAAUGAAAAGUAAAAUUCAGUUCCUCAGUUGCACUAGCCAAAUUUCAAGUGCUCAGUAAUAGCCACAUGGCGUUCGUGGCGGGAGCAUUGGACGAUGCAGAUAAUAUAAAACAUUUCACGGUUCUACUGGACAAGGCUGAUCUGCACUCCUGCUCCUGGCCUGCCGCGGCCCCGACUCACGCCAGAGCAUCCCUGCGAGCCACAUCUACCCCACUAGGCCUUCUCCCUGGCCGUCUGCAUGCCUGGUUUUCGCCCCCAGUGCCUAGGGCAGUGCCCCGCGCACAGUAAGUGUUUGCGGAAAUAGUGGGCCCUCGACCAGCGUUUGCCAAAUGUUGAAGGCCCCAAGGAGAGUUGGAUGGCAGCAGUAACCCCUACUUCUCUCUCCUGUCACUCCCUGCCCUCUUCUCUGCAGCCACCUUCCACCCACUCGGAGCAGGAGCUGGGGGCACAAAGAGGGGCCGGCCCUGCCCCCAAACCAUGUGGGAUUCCAGAAAUACCUGCUCCAGGUUUCAAGGCAUCUUACCU